CCGUCUGGGCUACGAGCAAGAAGACUGGUAGGUUCAGAGACGAAGAGCAUCAACCCUAGCUGCUUUCGAUCGAAAUCAAUCCAUUGAACUGCAUCAAAAUUCCUUUUUUGUUGCGUUUUCCCACUUGAUCGAGCUCGUAUUUGCUCCUGAUUUUUCUCGCCGAUCGAUCCUCCUUGCGUCCCCAAACCCUAGAAAGGUGGCUUGGUAAAUGAAAGAGAGGAAGAGCGCCUCGGUCUUACGGCGGAUUUUUAGGCAAUUGUUCGUCCCAGGCAAGAGAGUAUGGGAGAUGCAUAAAAGAAAAGGUCCCAGAGAUUGAACAUGACAUGUGUCUAAAAGAAUUUCUUCAACUAAAAACCUGCAUGCAGAAUACGGUUAGAAACAAGGUUUAAAUUUAACCAAGCAUCUGGGAACCUUCCUGGAGUCCUAUUCCUUAACUCAAGGUUUGAUUGCCAGUCAGUAGGAUUGAUAAAAAUGUCAUCUUAUUACA